GGAUGAAAGGGUGGUAGGUGGACAGGCGGUGGAGCUGAUGUUUGGGGUUGAUCCAGGACCCCAUUCAGAGCCCCGAGUGAUCACUAGCAAGAAGCAGCUGGUCACACAGUGAUUCUCACUGAGUCCCUUCCAUCUGGAUUUCAGAAUCAAGCUGAUUCUCUGGGGACACGACAACCAAGAAGUCUGUGUUCUCUUAUUCCCUCCAUGAACCAAGAGAACACCUUUUUAGUCCUCCCUUUUGGACACCAGCUGUACUAAGAAGAUCCUCAUCCCACUCAGAGUAAAACCUCAAGACCUUCAGUGGCAUGUGACCCCCAUUGCUUCUCCGAAUUGGUCUGCCACUCUCUCUGCCUUUCUGCACUUCGGACGCAUGGGCCUCCUUCCUGUUCCUGGAGCACAGCAGGUGUCAUGGGGAAGGCAGAGAUGGUGGUACACUCAGGCCUCCCCGUUGCUGGGAACGUUGUUGACCCUGACGUCCUAAAGCUUCCAGUGUAAUGACUUCUGCUCUGUGCUUGUCGUUUCUUGGCAGUUACACAA